rnacentral:tRNA from 1 species
GGGUAGGUGUCUGAGUGGCUAAAAGAGCACGCCUGGAACGCGUGUAAGGCAAAAACCUUCGUGGGUUCAAAUCCCACUCUACCCGCCA